UUGACUCCAAAACACUAACCAAGGUUUUUCUUGCUUCUCAAAGCUUUGAUGGUGUAGCCGAAGUUCGUAUGAGUCGUUGGCUUUGUA
rnacentral:sRNA from 1 species